rnacentral:rRNA from 1 species
UGCCAGCCGCCGCGGUAAUACGGAGGGUGCAAGCGUUACUCGGAAUCACUGGGCGUAAAGGAUGCGUAGGCGGUUUAUUAAGUCUUGUGUGGAAUCCUACAGCUCAACCUGGGAACUGCAUUCCAAACUGUCAAACUAGAGUGUGGUAGAGGGAGGUAGAAUUUCCUGUGUAGCGGUGAAAUGCGUAGAUAUAGGAAGGAAUAUCGAUGGCGAAGGCAGCCUCCUGGACCAACACUGACGCUGAGGUGCGAAAGCGUGGGGAGCAAACAGGAUUAGAUA